GAUAACGCAUGGGUAAAAUAACCUUUAUUUACAUGAAGUUGCGAAUUCUCCUUGCGCCGGGUCUCAAAUGGAUGUUUACUGUAGGUCUGUGCACCAGGCAUAGCUGAGUCCUGAACCAAUUCAAGGGAACCGGGAGUUGAUUGAGUUGGGCUGAGAUAGGCCUGGAUGACUGUGGACCUGUUUGGGUAGCUCAAAGCAAUCUAGGGCUGUCAGGGGGCAGGACAUCAGGUGGGAAGGAGAUGCAAGCAUUGGGCAAGGGAACUGGCUGGAUUUUCCUGGGAGAAGGUAGCCUCUUUGAAUAACCAGUGUCUCUUUCCUUUCUAGUGGGAAGACCUCAUCAACAGUGUAGAAAGCCAGCUUGGCGCCAAAAGACAAAGUUCUUCAAAGCAAUCAAGCCCAGGACUGCUUGGAGGAAUUUUUGGAGGCGGGAGACAACAAAGUUCUUCAAGAGGAACACAAGGAUGGUGGAAAGAUUUUUGGGGAGGCGCACCAUUUGGUUUGUUCGGCAGCAGAAGGAACAAUGACGACACCCCAAACUGGGUAAAAUGCUAUAUAUAAAUGUAUCUGACAUUGUGAUUUUUGCAUUAAGUUGACACUUAUAUUCCAAUCCCCUUGAUUUCAGUGCAGCUCCCAAGUUAUAUGUGCCUAUAACCACACUCUAACAAUGGAAUCCUACGUAUUCCUUCUCAGGAUACAAAUGCAGUAAAUAGAUAAAUAGGGUAAGCCCCACUGAGUUCAAUGUAACUUAGUCCAAAAAGACAUGGGGUAUAGAAUUUUACCCUCUGAGUGUCCCAGAAGAAAAUUUUCUGGCCUAGUGGUCUGUUGGCAGAUGAGAUAGCACAGAAUGCACAUAUACCUUAAGAA